ensembl:lncRNA
AGAAACACAGCCUAAAACCCCAAACAGCAAGCAAUGCAGGUGUAGAAGCACAUACUACUACUGGAGCCUGGGAGAAAGGAUAGAAACUAUUGCUGGAGGCUGGGAGAAAGAAGAGAAACUACUGCUGGAGGCUGGGAGACAGGAGAGAUACUACUGCUGGUGGCUGGGAGAAAGGCUGGGAGAAAGGAGAGAUACUACUACUGGAGGCUGGGAGAAAGGAGAGAUACUACUACUGCUGGAGGCUGGGAGAAAGGAGAGAAACUACUACUGGAGGCUGGGAGAAAGGAGAGAUACUACUGCUGGAGGCUGGGAGAAAGGAGAGAUACUACUGUAAAGUCCAUACCAGUGUGAUGCAUUACAUGCUCAGUCUACACUGGUAAAUCCCCGUCUCUACCCCUCCCCCCAUUAUCCUAAACACAAUAGCAACACUAUACUACAGACCUACUCUCCUAUCUCUCUCUACACCCCCCCCACACACAAUAUCAACACUAUACUGUAGACCUACUCUCCCCUCUCUCUCUACAACCCCCACCCCCACAAUAUCAACACUAUACUGUAGACCUACUCUCCCCUCUUUCUCUACACCCCC